UGCCUGCCCCUGCAAAAGUUAAGUUUGGCUAUUUACCUUUGUUAGCUAUUUAAUGUUGAUUGUAGGACCCACACAUGUAUUAUAUACUAUGGCAUAAAUCUAUAGAAUUAAAUCAUAUUUAGACUUCUCUAACUGGUAACUAUUCACUUUCAUUUUUAUUGUUUUCAGAAAAUAUCAUGAAUUCAACAUCUCUACUAAUUUCUACUUGGUUAAUUCAUACUGGCUGUUUUCCCUGUAUUGGUGUCUGGGUGUACAAUCUGUAACAACAGAUGAAUGUCACGUCUUCAAUAAAAUUGAAAAACCGUUAUGGCAUUUGACUCCAGGAACAUAUCUUAUGACAUGGGUUUCAGUUGAUAUAAUAUCUGCUAUCAUCAUCAUCAUCACCAUACUUAUAGUACAAUGCAGGGUCCGGUUAUUGGAAACAUGCUCCAAUCCUGAGAAAAUUUCAUUACAUUCUCAACAGACAAUGACCAUCCUUACAGACCAGUAUCAGUCUAAUUCAAGAACUAUGAAAGAAAAACUAUUAUUUACUGCUGACUAACUUGAAGAAGACGUUCUGGAAACAACAGAAGGUGUUUCUAAU
rnacentral:lncRNA from 1 species